rnacentral:lncRNA from 1 species
GAAUAGGAAUAACCUCAAACUUGUGUGCCUUAAUAAAUCUUGAUUUGUUGGCAGAUAUUAAAUACCUUGAAGCUGAGAGUGACACAAAUGGAGAUACUGAAUAAAAAUGUAGUUCUGCCCUAGGGCCUCUGGGGUUUCCCCCAAAAGAACCGCACUAUCAUGCAGAUUUGUUGCCACUUUCUCAUUUUGCCCUUAAUUUUUUACCCUCCAUAGCAUCCAUUUAUUGAUCUGAUGACGAAACUAUUGGUAUGAUAUAAUUAAGUACUGAAGAAAAAAAGUUUCAACCAUUUCAGAAAUAAUUGUUGAAGUAACUUUAUCAUGAAACACUACUUCCAGUUCAUAUAUUCUCAAAUGGGUGAAUGAUUCUUGCCAUUUAAAUGGGCAAAGUAUCAUCUUUUGCUCUAUCUGAUAGAACUGAAGUAUUUGAUUUUGUACAUAUGUAAUAGAUUCAAAACAUUAAGGGAUCUUCUCUAAGUUACUAACUUCAUUUUUCUACUGUUUAUAGAUUACGAACUGAACUUAAAUCAGGCAUUCAAUAUUGGUCUCUAAAGAGGAAGCUCUGCCAAGCAUUACUAAGAACUGAUCAGGUAUGGAGACACCUUUGUUUUGCUGUAAUUUUAAACAAAUAAAUAUCCUGAUAAUAGUGAUGUUUUGUGAACUGAACUUAAAUGCACGACACGUUUUUCUUCAUGUCAUCUUUAAAUGCAUGAAAGUAUAUCCGAGCCUGUCGUUAGCUUUUAACACCAAUGAAAAUCAGUUAUCUUUACCAUUCGUUAUUUCUUUGAAGAAUGGUAUUUUAGUUCAUUGGCCAUGUGUCAACGUGCUUCUAGUGAAAAGUGCUCUAUUUUUACAUUACAGGCUAGAUUUCAGCAUUAGGAGUAUCAAAGAAAAAAAAUAACGAAUGGUAAAUAUACUACAGAUGACGCAUUAGGCAUUAUGAAAUACCCAGUUAUUGGGGCGAAGGCGAAGACGCUACCCUUCGCUCGAUGCCUUCGCCAGUCUCGCUGCGCCAACGGAGACGACGACCAGCAGUCUUCGCUCUUCGUCCGGCACGCCGAAGGACGAAGACCUAUGGCGAGGUCGCCCCAUCCCGCGGCGUCGCCCAACACUGGAGCCCGCGUGCAAUCCGACCCGUCAUAACGGGCCCCGCGCUAUCACUGCGCAGUACGGGCCUAAAUUGUAAAGGUUUUUCUGUUAUUACAGUCUGUAACCCUGCUUUAAUAAGAAUAUUCCAGGGGGAACCUAGGAACCUGAGGGCACAUGCGUCCUUAAUCCUUGACGUUGGGCACUCAGACACCUAUAAAUACCCCCGCACAGUGCCCUUGAGAGACCGGAUUAACAGAGCUAUUGCCAUCUCAAAUUGAAACCUUGUUUGCAUCGCUUUCACUCCCACGUUGGAUCAACUCGCCCAGUAGAACGAGUUCCAACAUUUGGCGCCCAUCGUUCGUGCUACGAAAAAACCACCCGCGAUGGCACCCAAGAGAGCUACCUCGAAGGCUGACGAGGCUGCGAAGGCAGCACUGCUGGCCGAGAAAAAGGGCAAGGCCCUUGUCGACACCACCCACCAAGAGGCCUGCGAAGACGACGCACUCAGCAAGAGGCAGCGCAACGAGCAACCCACUCCCGAAGGCAGUCUCCGCACCUGCAGCUCUGGAGGACAACCACAACUUCCCCCAGGCUUCGCUCCACCAGAGGGCGCGGACGCCACCGAGGACGGCGAAGUCAUUGGCGUUUCGGCAGAAGAACAGCUACAACUGCGCGCCUUGCGCAUCAAGAACCGCAACCUCCAGAAGCAAAAAGAGAUCCUCGAGGCCAAGCGCCAACGUCUGUCUGCACAAGCCAAGGUGCGACAGAUGAUACGUGACGAAGAGCAGAAGGCUCAGGAGCUUGAACAAGAGAUCGCCCUCAUGCAGAGCGAAGGCCAACUCGGCCUGCAACACGGCCCACCCCUCCAACAGCGCGCACAAAUCGAAGACAUGUCCAUCCCUCAGCGCGGACAUGCCGUCCCGCAUGCCGCGGCAUUCCAAGGCGUCAACUAUCUUGACGAGCGAAGCCCCCUGGCGCCUCACCUGCAGGUGUCACCAUGGCCCGCCAACUUCAGGGCAGGGACCUAUCCCAAGUACAACGGCAGCACUGACCCAGCACAGUACAUCAUGAGCUAUCAGGUCGUCGUUGCAUCAUCCGGAGGGGACGACGCCACGAUGGCCAAGUCAUUCAUCAUUGCCCUCGAAGGCCCAGCCCUCACCUGGUACACCAGGUUGCCGCCAUUGUCCAUCGACUCCUGGAGAAGUCUCCGGGACAAAUUCUUGCUCAACUUCCAAGGGUACAGCCCAGACACCGACGCCUUGGGCGAACUUUCACUCUGCAAGCAGCUGGAAAAAGAGACUCUGCGGGAGUACUACCGCAAGUUUCUAACCCUCAACUCACAACUGCCUUCAGUCGAUGACCAAAUCGCCAUCCACUACGCCAUCAGUGGCCUUCGGGCCGGCGUCCUUUACAGUCACUGCAUCAGGGAUCCGCCCAAGAACCUCCAGGAGUUGUAUCAGCUAUUUGAAAAAUAUGCCAGAUCCGAAGAGCUCCACCAGCGCAAAGUCGAGUCUCAGAGGAAACCCAAAGACACUCCACAGUCCAGCCGCACGUGGACGAGGCCCUCGCAGCCAGACUCCGGUCAGGACGGCCGCAAUCAGCAGCAGGUGCACAACAUCGCCAACCAGCACCCCGCUGGCGAGGCCCCUCGCCGCCAGGAGUAUCCCCCUAGGGCCGUGGGAGCGGAACUCGUGGUCGGGGUCGGGGACGUGCGCAGCAGCCACGCAGAUUUUACUGCCUGUUCCACGGCGAAGACUACGCCCACCCUACCAGAGACUGCCCAGAGACGAAGGCCACCAGAGACAGGAUGGCACGGGCGCAACCAGCCGACAACCCUAGAGUUGUCGCGCACACAUAUCAGCAAUCCCCUCCGCCACACAUCCACGGCCCCGCUCCGCAUCCACCGCACCACGCAUACCAGCACCACCAGGAGGUACAAAUCGUACCUCCCCACCCCCACCUCCACACUAGCAACAACAAAACAUCCACCACCCCCGCGCCCCAAAGCAAGAGGACUUCGCCGAUCAGCCGUAUCGCGGAGUCAUUCAUAUGAUCACUGGGGGGUCCAGCGCUGACUUCGACACAAAGCGGCAGAAGAGGGACCAUUAUCGCAGCGUCAACCACGUCGCCGUCACAGGCCCAGUCGUGCAGACAAAGUGGUCCCAUGUGCCACUAACCUUCGACGCCCGAGACGUCGAUCUGCGCAGCGCACCCCACAUCGACGCCAUGGUUAUCAACUGCAGCGUGGCAGGCUGGGACCUGCAUAAAGUCUUAGUCGACAAUGGCAGCCAGGCGGAUAUCAUCUUCCUCCAUGCCUUCGAUCACAUGGGCAUAAGCCACAGCCUGCUCAAGCCUUCGGACAACCCGCUGUACGGCUUCGGCGGCAAGGGCACCUUUCCUGUCGGCAAAAUAGAGUUACCUCUCUCCUUCGGUGUAGCACCCAAUGCCCGAAGUGAGCAAGUCACAUUCGACAUCAUCGACAAGGUGUACCCGUACAACGCCAUAAUGGGUCGGGGCUCCAUCAACAAGUUUGAGGCAGCCAUUCACGGACUUUACCUGUGCAUGAAGAUACCAGGUCCGCAAGGCGCCAUCACGGUCUACGGCAACCAGUAGGCUGCGCGUAACAUAGAACGAGACUUCGUCCCCGGACAAAGAAACGUGCACUGCCUCACGGCCCAGCGCGAGGUCCCCGCGUCUGCCAGCCCAACUGACAAAGAACACGACAAAUCACAGCUGCAGAGCAACGACGGGACCAAGACUGUUCCCCUCGACCAGGCCACGCCCAAGCAGACGGUCACCAUCAGCGAAGACCUCACUUCGCAUGAUGAGGAGAGACUCCUCUGCUGCCUGUCCAAGAAUAAAGACAUCUUCGCCUGGUCCGCCCUUGACCUAGUCGGAGUCAGUCGCUCCAUCAUCGAGCACAGUUUAGGAAUCGACCCUUCGGUGAGGCCGAAGAAGCAGCGGCUAUGUAAGAUGUCUGACGAGAAGACAGAAGCCGCCAAGGUCGAGGUACAUCGCCUGCUUGAGGCCAAAUUUAUCGAGCCAAUCGCCUACCCCACAUGGCUCGCCAACGUAGUAAUGGUGCAGCAGAAGAGCGGCAAAUGGCGGAUGUGCAUCGAUUUCACCACUCUUAACAAGGUCUGCCCCAAGGACAACUUCCCGCUGCCUCGGAUCGACAAAAUAGUCGAUAGUGCGGCCGGGUGCGAGGUCAUGUCACUCCUCGAUUGCUUCUCCGGCUACCAUCAAAUAUAUAUAUAUGAAGGAGGAGAACAAGACAAGCACUAGCUUCAUAACUCCCUUCGGCACGUAUUGCUUCAUCAGAAUGCCGGAGGGACUCAAGAACGCCGGGUCCACUUUCUCUCGGCUCACCAAAACGAUGCUCGAGGGACAAGUCGACAGAAAUAUAUUCACGUAUGUGGACGACAUCGUCGUCGCUAGCAGAAGCAAGGAGAACCAUCUUGCUGACCUCGCCGAAACGUUUGCGAACAUGCGGGACGCACGACUUCGCCUAAACCCCGAAAAGUGCGUCUUCGGCGUUCCCCAGGGGAAAAUAUUGGGCUACCUGGUGUCACACCGCGGAAUCGAGGCCAAUCCAACCAAAAUUCAGGCCAUCAUCAACAUGACGCCCCCGCAGUCAGCCAGAGACGUCCAACGCCUGACAGGCAGAUUGACCGCCCUCAACAGAUUCAUCUCCAAAUCCGCAGAGCGAAGUCUCCCUUUCCUCAAAACUCUCUGCGGCGCAAAAGACUUCGCUUGGGGACCAGAGCAGGCGGCGGCCUUCGCCUCAUUGAAGCAGUACCUGUCGGAAUUGGUGAUUCUUACAAGCCCCGACUCCUCGCUACCCCUGUUGCUCUAUGUUGCGGCUUCGCCACAUGCGGUCAGCGCAGCACUGGUUCAAUAGCAGACCAUAGAGGGCAUGAUCAGGCAAUGUCCAGUUUAUUACGUCUCCGAAGUGCUCACACCAUCAAAAUGUAAUAUGACGGAACUGGAAAAGAUUGCCUAUGCAGUUGUUAUGGCUUCGCGCAAAUUGCGCCACUAUUUCGAGCCAUUCAAGGUCCGGGUCACCUCAGAUAGGGGACUCGGCGAAUUGUUUAGAAACCCGGAGGCAUUAGUCCGGAUCGCCAAAUGGGCAGCCGAACUUUCCGGCUACCACAUCACAUUUGAACCCAGGACAGCCAUCAAGUCACAAGUCCUGGCUGACUUCGUUGUCGACUGGACUGGGCCAACAACACAGCCGGACCCGUCUACAGAAAAAGUAUGGACAAUCCAUUGCGACGGCGCAUGGUGCCAUGCGGGGGCAGGCGCCGCUGCAGUCAUUACUUCACCCACAGGGGUCAAGCACAGAUACGCAGCACGCCUCAGCUUUGCUUUGGAGUCUGACAGAUGCACUAACAACAUAGCAGAAUACGAAGCUGUCAUCCUCGGCCUUCGCAAGCUAAGGGCCCUUGGUGUCACCACCUGCAUCAUCAGAACGGACUCCAAGGUAGUCGCCGACCAAGUCGAGAAAGACUACGCAGCGAAGGACCCCGUACUUAUGCAGUACCUCACAGCUAUCCAUAUUCUCGAGAGGCAAUUCAAAGGUUUCACCUUGCAGCGUGUGGACCGUGCCAAGAAUGAGGAGGCCGACGUGUUGGCCAAGGCAGCAGCCAGAGGCGAGACCCUGCCCUCCGACGUAUUCUACCAUGUCAUCGGCACGCCAGCCGUUCGUAGCCCAGAGGGGCUCCAAAUAACCAAUGACAGCGAGGGCCACCGCAUAGUCAACCUUAUCAUGACCGAAGACUGGCGGGCACCAAUAACCCUGUUCCUGCAGGGGUACUAUCAUCCAACCGACAUCAAUAAGGCCAAGCGCCUCAAACAUCGAAGCCGAGACUUCGCACUAAUCGAAGGACAACUUUACAAGAAGGGGGUCAGUCAACCCAUGCUUAAAUGUGUCACCGAGACCGAAGGCGUCCAAAUUCUGCGCGAAGUCCACAGCAGGACCUGCGGCUCUCACGCAGGGCCUAGGGCACUAGCCGCAAAGGUAAUCUGUCAAGGUUUCUACUGGCCCGCCAUGAUCUGCGCCGCAAAUCGGGUCACAAGGUCCUGCGAAGCCUGCCAGAAAUUUUCUCCACGCUCGGGAAGCCCUUCGCAAUUCACGAAGCUAAUCGCCCACACAUGGCCUCUUCAACGCUGGGGCCUGGACAUUGUCGGGCCCCUACCCACGGCCCAGGGGAACCUCAAGUUCACCUUCGUCGCUGUCGAGUAUUUUACCAAAUGGAUCGAGGCGAGGGCUGUAUCCACAAUAACAUCGAAGACUGCCCAGAAAUUCUUCUGGCAAAACAUCGUUUGCCGCUUCGGAGUUCUGUCCGAACUCACAGUUGACAACGGCAAGCAAUUUGACAGCCAAGACUUCAAGGAUUUCUGCUUCUCCAUUGGCACCAAGCUUGCCUUUGCCUCAGUAUACCACUCGCAAUCCAACGGAGUUGUGGAACGCGCAAAUGGCAAAAUUUUCACAGCUGUCAAGAAGAUGCUCCUCGACGAUAAAAAGGGCAAAUGGGUCGAUUUGUUACCUGAAGCGGUCUGGGCAUUAAACACGACUGAGUGCAGGGCGACUGGGUUCACCCCUUUCCGCCUCCUAUAUGGAUCGGAGGCCAUGACCCCGCAAGAAAUAAAACAUGGGUCACCACGGACAGUCCCGUCAGCCGUCCCUGACGUGGACGAGCCCACUUCGAAGGACCUCAUCGACGGAGACCGUGUCUUCGCCCUACAGGCUCUAAACAAAUACCAAGCCCAAACAAAAGCAUGGCGCGACCACACAGUCAUCCCGAGGGAAUUCAGCGAAGGAGACCUCGUACUCAUCCGGACAGCUCGGACAGAGUCCAGGGGCAAGCUGGAGCCCAAGUGGGAGGGCCCUUUCAUCGUCAAGACGAAGGCGUCCCCCAGCGCGUACAAGCUCACAACGCCAUCCGGCGAGGACUUGGAGCAUUCUUGGAACAUUGAUAAUCUCCGCAAAUUUUUUGUUUGACUCCUCAGGGCCAGCUCGCCCUUGUAAUUCGCAAAACAAUUUUUUUGUGGUCCGCACUCUUUUCCUCCCAGGGGGUGAGGUUUUUAAUGAGGUGGAGCCAUGUAAUAUACCAGCGAAAAAUCCCCCGCAAAAAUCUACGUCGAAAAAAGACCGCAUCGACAGUCUUCGACAUUCGACCAAUACAAAGUCACCGCGAGGGGCAGCGCUAGCUACCCUCGCGUGCGACACUCCACGCAAAAGUCGCCUAAGGGUGCAGCCGGACUAGCACAACAAGUGCGCAAAAUCGAAGUCUUCUUCAAAAGACUAUCCGUGCAAAAGCCGCCUAAGGGUGCAGCCGGACUAGCACAACAAGUGCGCAAAAUCGAAGUCUUCCUCCAAAGACUAUCCGCGCAAAAGUCGCCUAAGGGUGCAGCCGGACUAGCACAACAAGUGCGCAAAAUCAAAGUCUUCCUCAAAAGACUAUCCGUGCAAAAGUCGCCUAAGGGUGCAGCCGGACUAGCACAACAAAUGCACAAAACCGAAGUCUUCCUCAAAAGACUAUCCGUGCGAAAGUCUACACCAAGCAACUGUCCACGCAAAGACCGACUACAGGCGCAGCCGAACCGACAUAAUAAACGUGCUAGACCAAGUCGCAACGCCCCUAUGGACAUAGCCGGAUGCGCGAAGGCGCACAGCCACUUCAUACAAACUAUAGUUACACAUGAACAGCGAGGGCAUCACACCUUACAUAGGUUCAACCUUCGGAAUGAUUCCCAUCUCCCUAUAGUUAAAUAGCAUUAUCCUAAGCUCCUCACCCUCAAAAAGACUUCGCAACUCCCCCUCACCUACACUCGCCCCAACCGGCGAGGACAACAAUUCCCGCUUGCCAACCCUGCCCACACGAAGCCGACCGCCAUCCACUUCACUCACUCUACGCUUCGCCACCGCCCUUCGCCGCCUACGCCCAGCACUCGGACCAGGCAAAACUUCAGCAUCCGUCACAUGCGGAGAAGCCUCCGUCGCAGCCACAUCCAAGGCCGCAAAGUAAUCCAAGUCCUCAUCCGAAGACUCUUCCGUCCACUCAACCGAACUCCCAGAGUCAUCAAAAUCAAAAAACUUAAACGCAGACUCAUCCAUUUCAUUUCUAGCGACCACGGUCGAAGCCACCACAAAAUUAGCAGUAGCGGUUGCGUGCGCAGGCCCAAAAUCCUGAACCUGCGCAGCAACCAAGGUUCAGUAACAUAGCCAAAAUUUUCUAACUAUCCCACACCCACUAAGCCACCUGCGAAGACCCAGCCGCCGCCGUGGGAUCCUCCGCUGCCGGCUCCGUCGCCGCCUUCGCGGGAUUCUCCACCAUCGGCACAGUGGCUGACGACGAGCCUCUACCGGACAUGGCAGCCACAGGGGCAGCAAGGGAGCCUUCACCGGUUUCCGGGGGUGGUGCCGGGUCGACUUCAGCCUCGGCCUCAACCGGGUUGGCCUCCGCUUCGGGUUGCGCGCUGUUCAGGGGUCCGAAGUCCUCCACAUCCUCAGCACGCACCAUCUACAACAUAGCACACCGAUUCAGCAAGCCCACGUAUACCCACAUUCAACGACACUAUACAAAAGACAAACUUUACCUAAUCCCUCGCCCGGUCAGACCGUUCCCUAACCACCUCCCGACCGUAGGGGCCCCACAUCCGGUCGAAGAGGGCCCCCGCGGAGUCCUUCACCACAGGGUCUUCGACUUUAUAAAUGUCGCGCCCAAAAUCUUCAUCAGAUUGGUCGAAGACCUCAUAGUGACUGCACCCCUCGCGGGACAGCGCGUUCAUCGCCCCUUCGCAGGUGACGAGGGAGGCAAAGGACAUGAACCCCUCCACGAUGGUCGGGAGCGCCAACAAUUCCUCUUGCAGCCACUCGAGGAAGCGAAGGCCUGCCUCUCGGUCGGGCACUUCGAAGUCAGCAGUUCGCGUGCCCAGCUCGCGGUAUGAGUCCACGAGCUAUUUGCGCUUCCGCUCAACUUCCAUGCGUGUAGAGGCCUCGGCCCUCUCCAUGCGGGCCUGCAAAGCGUUGAACCGCACCUCCCAUUCCUCGGCGCGCUGGCUGGCGAGACUCCCCUCCACCCGCGCCAAUUUGGCCUCCGCCUGCGCCUUUGCGAUGGCCUGGUUGGCCUCCCUCCUCUCCUCCACCAGCUGGCGCCGGAGGUCCAUCCUCUCACCCUCCAGGGCGGCCACCUUCUCCGCCAGCUUGCGGCGCUUGCUAUCCGUAGCCGACUUUUCCCGGACGACGUCAGCAUGCUGCGCCCGAAGUCUCUCGACUUUGGCAGACACAUCUGCAGUAAGGGCCCCCGAUGCCACACGGUCGGCGAAGUCGGCCGCCUAACAGAUACACAUGAGACCACAAUCCCCAUGAAAACGGUAAACACCGAAGUCCAGCUCAACUUACUUGACUCAGCUGCUGCGACGCCUCCCUCAGCCGGCGGGACACGGUGCCCGCUUCGUCCUUGACGGCAGCGACCGCCGAAAUCUCGCCGCCAGCGCUGAGAGCGCUACCCUUGACCACAGGCACCGCGGUAGACACCGUGGUCGCCACCGCAGGCGGAACAACAACAAGUUGCCCCUCGCUCGAUCCUGCAACGUAUCACCAGUCAAAAAAAAUUACUUACCGACGAGAUAAUCGUCCACACUAAUAUUUGUGCCGAAGUCGGCAACACGUUUCCCCGGCGAAGGCAAUUCCCGGGCCUUCGCAGCUCCGUCCGGGGCAGACUUGGUUCCGCCGGCGCCGGUCGCCUUCACGCUCUCUAGCACCUUGCUGGACCCAGGGGCGGCGGGCUUCGCCGCUAGCAUCGGCUGGCUACCGCCGGGGGCGGUAGCCUUCGCAGUCCCCCGCGCCCUCUUCGACCUAGCUUCAGGGAGCCUGAUGACCCCCGACGCUUCUGCGCAGCUUCUUGGCGAUCCUUGUUCAUCACUGCUGACACAACAGCAGUAAUAUUCCGUCCGUAAGGAAACACUCUCAAGUCACGAGCCAUGCGAGACGUAAAAAAGUCUUCGUCGGCCGCGCGGGGGAUAGGAACGUUCUUAGGCCAUCGACCCCCGGUAACCUCCAGCAUCCGCGCCGAAGACUCCCGGAGCUCGGACGAAGACAUCCUUCCCCCGGGGGCCGCGCAUGUCCCCAUCAACUCCAUAGCAAAACUAUCGGAGACCCCCAGUUCUCCCAUCGUAGUACCUAGCUUCCUCUUCUUAGUGGAUGGGGCGGCCUCCGGCGCGGGGUCGUCUUCAGUCUCAGCCGCCGAUUUUUUCCCGCGGCGGUCGAUAACAUAUUGCCCGGGAUAACCGCCAUACGACAAACAAUUCAACUCGAAGACCCUAUUCAGGCGAUUGUUGGAUCCACGUAUAUCCCAACUCCGCUGGGCCUCCGUCUUUGGCACGUAGCGACCAACAAUUCGCACCGCCCCAUCCUCCGCCUCACGCACGAAUGCGGCGGGAUCUCGGCCAUGCAAAUCCAGUGUGAAGGCGGGACUCCGCACCAGCACCCCACCACGGGAAGGCAUCUAGCAAGGGCAUACUUCGCCCAGCGCCCAGCCACGCGCCAAGGGCCAUACCCCAUACCCGACAAACUCGUCAACCAGAUCGCGUCCGCUACUCAUGCGGGCCGCGCACCGAAAGGCCCCUUCAUCUUCAUCCUCCUCCGCUACCUCAAACCGCAGGUACGCUGAGUAAUAAUGCGAACACAUGACGGCCACGGGGAGCCCCGGAUGGUCUUCGACUGUGCCUUCGGCAACGUAGAACCAAAAAAUUCCCACCAGUUGCCCCAUUUAUUGCGGGCGCAGGGAACCAACUCAACGACUUCCAUCGAAGUCUUGCCGGUCUUCGGCGUAAAUGUGCAAGAUCCAAAUCGAGCAAUCUUAUUUCUGAUUUUCCUUUUCUGCCAAUGCAGAUAAUAAUACUUCGCGAAGACUUCAACCGAGGGCUGCCCGCCGUACGAAGUCGUUGCCCAGACAUAUUUUGCCAGGGCCACCACGGCAUUCGGCGUCAGCUGGUGGACCUGGACGUCGAAUCUACGCAGAACUUCUCCCACAAAUCGAUGCGCGGGCAGACGAAGGCCAACGGCGAAAAAAGCCUCGAAGACGACCAACUCGCCUUCCGGCUCGAGGACCUCCUCUGCCCCCGGGACACGGGCCACUCCGCCGCCAAAAUACCCAAGCUGUUGCAUGUCUUGCACUCGGACCGAGGACAUCCGCGACACGCCGAAUUCCACUGUGUCGCCGGUGCGCAACUCCUCCGCCGCCACAUUGCUCAGCGUCUCCUCGGACGACGCGCCGGCCGGCGGUGUAUCGACAGCAGAAGAGGAAGAGGACGACAUGGCUACGUACCGUCGGCGGCGGCGGGCGGUCUGCUUCACACGGGCCAGAUCUUCGACGAGCAAGAGCAAGGAGGGCAGACGAGCAGCGAGCGGUUUGAGAAGGAAGUUAGGGUUUUCGCGAAGCGCGGAAAGAUAAAGUUCAAAACGCGCCGCCCCCCCCCCCCCCCCCCCCCCCGCCCCCUUUUAUACACAGGGCGCGGCGCUUCGGGAAACCCGCAAUCCAACAGUACGGCGUCAAUCAACGGUCAUGUCAAAAACCCCCGCGGAACCACUUCGAGCGAGGGCAGCGUCUCCACCAUCUAGCGACGCCUUCGGCACCAGAUGACUUGGUCGAACUGGUCCCUCGGAGGGCAAAUGUUGGGGCGAAGGCGAAGACGCUACCCUUCGCUCGAUGCCUUCACCAGUCUCGCUGUGCCAACGGAGACAACGACUGGCAGUCUUCGCUUUUCGUCCGACACGCCGAAGGAUGAAGACCUAUGGCGAGGUCGCCCCAUCCCGCGGCGUCGCCCAACACUGGAGCCCGCGUGCAAUCCGGCCCGUCAUAACGGGCCCCGCGCUAUCACUGCGUAGUACGGGCCUAAAUUGUAAAGGUUUUUCUGUUAUUACAGUCUGUAACCCUGCUUUAAUAAGAAUAUUCCAGGGGGAACCUAGGAACCUGAGGGCACAUGCGUCCUUAAUCCUUGACGCUGGGCACUCAUACACCUAUAAAUACCCCCGCACAGUGCCCUUGAGAGGCCAGAUUAACAGAGCUAUUGCCAUCUCAAAUUGAAACCUUGUUUACAUCGCUUUCACUCCCACGUUGGAUCAACUCGCCCAGUAGAACGAGUUCCAACACCAGUUUUUACAUAUUUGCCUCUUUUAGUAGAUUUCAAGGAGAUUAAUGGACAUGAAGUGGCAACUUAAUUAGAAGUACCUGGCUUUAGCUAUACAUUGUAGUGCUUAAUUUAGAGUGGCUUCUCUAGAUUUUAGAUGUAUUUCUGUGGUUAACGCCGAGCAUGCUAUCUGUGUUAUGGUUACUGAUAUCUUUUAAGUGUGUUAAACACUUCUUUCUCUACGACCUGCAUAUGUUUUUUUCUUGACAUUUUAGAAUCAUUGUUAGUGGAUACCCAAUGAAAUUUAGGGAAUUUUUGUCAUGUUAGAGAGCCUUUGGUUCAAUCCACAGCUAUACCAUUUAUGAUGUAUCAUGCUAUAAUGUUGCCAAGAGCAGUGUGGCUUGAUGACAUCACUGUGUAAAUAUGAUGGAUUGCUUCUUUGGAACUAUGCUAUAUAAAAGAUCUUUUUUUUUCUAGCUUGACUUCUAGCAUUGGUUGAGGCAUGAGCAUGGGUGACUGAGCAUGUAAUGCUGAAUGUUCUGAUACUGAUAUCAGAACAUGAAUUUGUUUAACAAAAUAUUAUAUCCUAAACUUCUGUUUCCACAGCGUGGUCCGGUACAGAAUUGAUUCCACAGCGUGAUCCGGUACAGAAUUGAUUCCGAAGGUCUUGGAAAUCAGCGGCGAGCGCAGCCUCAUCGACAACUUCUUCUUCUACUACCACGUGUAAUAAUCACGAUACACAAGUUUCCCUCGAAUUUAUAUUCUAUGUUUUCAUUUGUUUCAUGAUUGUUAGUUUGUCGAUCUUAUUUAUCUCUUUGUACUGUUGUCGAUGGGAAGAAAAACAUCGAGGAAGGGUGUUAGAAAGAACCCCACAGUAGAUUGUGGGACAUAUACUAAGAACAUCGUCUACACGGAGGUCCUAACAAACUAGACCUACGUUAAGUCUGUCAAAACUCAAUUGUUUGUUUCAAUAUAUUUGGAAUUGUGCCUUUAAC